GUGGGGAAUAUUGCGCAAUGGGGGGAACCCUGACGCAGCAACGCCGCGUGAUUGAAGAAGGCCUUCGGGUUGUAAAGAUCUUUAAUCGGGGACGAAAGAAAUGACGGUACCCAAAGAAUAAGCUCCGGCUAACUACGUGCCAGCAGCCGCGGUAAUACGUAGGGAGCGAGCGUUAUCCGGAUUUACUGGGUGUAAAGGGCGCGCAGGCGGACCCGCAAGUCAGGAGUGAAAUCUGGGGGCUUAACCCCCAAACUGCUUUUGAAACUGCGAGUCUUGAGUGAUGGAGAGGCAGGCGGAAUUCCCAGUGUAGCGGUGAAAUGCGUAGAGAUUGGGAGGAACACCAGUGGCGAAGGCGGCCUGCUGGACAUUAACUGACGCUGAGGCGCGAAAGCGUGGGGAGCAAACAGGAUUAGAAACCCCAGUAGUCC
rnacentral:rRNA from 1 species